rnacentral:rRNA from 1 species
UACGGAGGGUGCAAGCGUUAUCCGGAAUCAUUGGGCGUAAAGCGUCCGCAGGCGGUUUGUUAAGUUAGGUGUUAAAUCUUACAGCUCAACUGUAAAUCUAUACCUAAAACUGGCAAACUAGAGUACUACAGAGGUACGCGGAAUUCUGUGUGUAGGGGUAAAAUCCGUAGAUACACAGAGGAACACCAAAAGCGAAGGCAGCGUACUGGGUAGUUACUGACGCUCAGGGACGAAAGCGUGGGGAGCGAACGGGAUUAGAUACCCCCGUA